rnacentral:tRNA from 1 species
AGGGAUGUGGCUUAGUGGUAAAGUGUUUGCCUCCCAUGCAUAAAAUGCUGAGUUCGAUUCCUCAGUACCACCA